rnacentral:rRNA from 1 species
AUCGAACGCUGGCGGCAGGCUUAACACAUGCAAGUCGAGCGAGCGGCGGACGGGUGAGUAAUGUCUGGGAACCUGCCCGAUGGAGGGGGAUAACUACUGGAAAAGGUAGCUAAUACCGCCUACCAUCACUUGUGCCCAGAUGGGAUUAGCUAUUAGGUGGGGUAAUGGCUCCCCUAGGCGACGAUCCCUAGCUGGUCUGAGAGGAUGACCGGCCACACUGGAACUGAGACACGGUCCAGACUCCUACGGGAGGCAGCAGUGGGGAAUAUUGCACAAUGGGCGCAAUCCUGAUGCAGCCAUGCCGCGGGUGUGAAGAAGGCCUUCGGGUUGUAAAGCACUUUCAGCGAGGAGGCGUUACUCGCAGAAGAAGCACCGGCUAACUCCGUGCCAGCAGCCGCGGUAAUAC